UACGUAGGGGGCAAGCGUUGUCCGGAAUCAUUGGGCGUAAAGCGCGUGUAGGCGGCCCGGUAAGUCCGCUGUGAAAGUCGGGGGCUCAACCCUCGAAUGCCGGUGGAUACUGUCGGGCUAGAGUGCGGAAGAGGCGAGUGGAAUUCCUGGUGUAGCGGUGAAAUGCGCAGAUAUCAGGAGGAACACCAAUGGCGAAGGCAGCUCGCUGGAACGGUACUGACGCUGAGGCGCGAAAGCUGGGGGAGCAAACCGG
rnacentral:rRNA from 1 species